GGCCUUUCUAGGAGCCAGCUUGCUUUCAUCUUACUGUUUUGAUUGUGCCUCACAAGGGACAACACUCCGAUUGUCUAGGAGGAGGAAGGUCAGGGACAGAAAAGUAAAAGCCAGGAGCAGCCUGUCCUGUCUGCCUGGGCUGCUGGGGAAUGAUUGUCAGUGAAUCGAGUUGUCUGUGGAGCCCCUGAGCAAAUUCUCCCAGUGGCAGAUCUCGCAAAAGGGGAGGAAGGCCUUCACCGCUGAACCCGAGCUUUGCCAUUUCGAAGUGCUGAGUCACCUCGUCCUCUCAGGGUCAGACACUUUCACGCAGGAAACGUCCUGCAGAGCACCGCAGCGGGAGCACCGAGCUGGGUGGUAAUUUAUUCUAGAACCGAUGUGCCAGCGUUUCCUUCUGUGUGCUUUGAGUAGGAGCAGGAACAACGGAUCUCUCCAAGCAUGGGCAGACGGAGAGCUGCAACCCUUGGACCAACCAACGCCUGCCAGUGGGCGCCUGCAUCCCACGCCUGCAUCCCGCGUGCAGGCUACUGGCAGGUGCUCUGUGUCUCACUCCAUCUUUACCUGCCCUGUAAAGGAGGAACUGUUGUUUUUAGUCUCCUGGAGCAGCCGCGCCUUCCCACAGCACUCAGACUUGAGGAAGCUUAAGAAGCUGAGACCAGAGAGGGCGAUGUCCACCUUGGUGACGAAGCACUCUAGAGGCUGCCGCCACACUUAAAAAGUGACCAGUCACCAACAACUCAUCUUAAGUACAGGAAGAAUGCCAGCAGCUGAAUGAAAUUCUUGCUUUCCCUGGUGAACAACGAAGGGGAAGGGAAUGGAGUGUGGUGAAAGAGAGGGCAGAAAGGCUGCCAGUGUCCUCUUCAUCCCUGCCCCACCCCCACCCCCACCCCCCAGCACAGAGAGACCCGGGAAGAUUUCAAAUCUUUCCUUUAAGUGGCGGCUAAGGACAAAAUGAAAUGACUUAGCCACCUAUCAUGGUCUUUACUGAGUUAUAUCCAUGGAUAUAAGAUAAUUUGGCAUCUAAAAAACAAAGACAGGGCCAGUAAAAUGGCUCACUGGGUAAAGGUGCCCGCUGCCAAGCCAGAGCACCUGGGUUUGGUCCUUGGAACUCACACGGUGGGGAGAACAGAUCCCUUCAUGCUGUGUGCUGAUGCCCACAUGCAUGUUAGGAAAACACUUCCAGCCCCCUAAACUAACUUUUUCUAUUCCGUACUCUGCCUGUGACUAGACCUGGAAGGAGAGAACAAGGGCCUUCCUGAGGCAGGACAAGGACCCAGAACUACCCAGAAUGCAGCAGGGCGGCCCCGCACGACUGAGCUCUGAUCCUAACCUGCAAAGUGAAGUUUCAAUUUCCACUUCCUGAGAAGAUGUGGAAACUCAGAGAGGAUGCCACUGUUUUGAACUAUUUUGAAGGCACAGCCACCAGAGCUUUAGGUCAGAAGAGGUCCUUGGAACUGGAAUUACAGGUGGCUGUGAGCCUCCAGGUAGGUGCUGAGAAUCAAGCAGCCUGGCUCCUCUGUAGGAGCUCUAAGGAAUGCUCUUACCUGCUGAGCCAUCUGUCCAGCCCUGAUUGUCCUGGCUGUUAAUUGAGGAAGGAAGACUUACUCUGAGGGAGGGCUGAGCCAGUCCCCAGGCUGCUCCCUGAAUGGUAUGUAGAGGAGGGGAGCCAGCUAAGCACUGACCAGCGAGGGUGUGCACAUUUUCUUUGGUCUUUGUUUUGAAUGUGGUGUGGCUGGCUGCUUCAAUUCCUGACUUGAUUUCCUCAAAAGGAUAGGCUGUAACCCAGAAUGGUAAACUGCCUU
rnacentral:lncRNA from 1 species